UGCGUGCUACAGCGAGGCUAAGCUAGUGGGGGAAAAGUUUCAGUGCAUUCCGUUGAUGUAAACAGCGUGAAAACGGAAACAAGAAGUAUGCCGGCUCAGUGUGCUGCAUACAAUUAAACACAGCGUCGCACGAUGGAGACAAGGAAACUUGGAAUGACUUUUCAUAGGUUUCCCAGAGACUAUGGGUUGAGGAGGAAUUGGAAGUUUGUCGGCUUAGACCUGGUAUCAUUCCAUCAGUGUUAAACUUCCCAGCUCAUCUUGGAAGAGUACGUGCCAGAAAGACCACGACCAAGCAGCCUUGAGAUCUUAGACAGCGUCUCCCUCAGGUCCCUCUCUAUCUCCCCACACAUCCACCAACCACUGGAACACAUCUCCAAAGUUCUGCCGGGCCAGCUCAGCUUCCCCUCAGAAGAAGUGCCGCCACCUGCCAGAUGAAGGAGCCUUUUGAGAGGCAGCUGGCAUCGUGAUUGGACUGUACUUUGGUCUGUUCCAAUCCAGCUUCAGCUCCAGAGACGGCAGGCGGGACGAGUCAACGGAGGCCGGGUGGACGAAGGCAUGCAGCUGAGUACAAUCCAGAAAACAACAGAGGAGGAGUGCAGGGCCAGAACAACCAGAGUAGCAUCCUAUGUCUCUUAGAAAACAUCAUAGUAGAACCUUUGGGAUGAAAAAACACCAUCAUAUACAUCGUAUAUUGUACAAAUAACAAGUCAAAGGAAAGAGACAUACAUUGUAGAAUUGUAGUAAUUGUGGGCUGACUGAUUUACUGAUUAUCAGUAUUUUAUUUUUUACUGAUUUACGGUAAUAAAUACAUUUAAAAAUGG